CCUACGGGGGGCAGCAGUGAGGAAUAUUGGUCAAUGGACGAGAGUCUGAACCAGCCAAGUAGCGUGAAGGAUGACUGCCCUAUGGGUUGUAAACUUCUUUUAUAUGGGAAUAAAAUGUUCCACGUGUGGGAUUUUGUAUGUACCAUAUGAAUAAGGAUCGGCUAACUCCGUGCCAGCAGCCGCGGUAAUACGGAGGAUCCGAGCGUUAUCCGGAUUUAUUGGGUUUAAAGGGAGCGUAGGUGGAUUGUUAAGUCAGUUGUGAAAGUUUGCGGCGCAACCGUAAAAUUGCAGUUGAAACUGGCAGUCUUGAGUACAGUAGAGGUGGGCGGAAUUCGUGGUGUAGCGGUGAAAUGCUUAGAUAUCACGAAGAACUCCGAUUGCGAAGGCAGUUCACUGGACUGCAACUGACACUGAGGCUCGAAAGUGUGGGUAUCAAACAGGAUUAGAUACCCGAGUAGUC
rnacentral:rRNA from 1 species